ensembl:lincRNA
GGACUUAGAAGUCACUCUGAUCACCUGACUGACCGUGAGUCCCACUGUAAGGCUUUCCUAGUCUCCCCUUGCCAUCCUUCCUAUCUACAUUUAUGGACGCAUUUCGCUCCCUGCCUCGACUCUGGUCCCCCCAGAGCUUCCUAGAGUCUUGCCCUGCCAGCACAGAACUCGCCACUUGGGAGAGGGCGCCCACCCUGGGGCGCGUUGCGUGAAAGCCUGGCAGCUACACCUCGCUUCUUCCUCCUCCUGCCCUCAGCCGCGGACCUUCACGCCACAUCCCCGCGCACCCGGCGACUCGGGUCGUCCCUGGCCUCGCGGGCCCCACCCCUCCCCAGGUCUACCCCGCGAUCGGGCGGGAGACAAGUUGAAUGGGAAGAUGGAGAUGGAUGUUGAGGGAGUUUCUCCGCGCCCGGAGCCCAUCCCCCGCUCCCAGGGGGCCGGCGGAGCCUGCCAGGCGCCGCCGCCGCGGACCCAGCCCCAGCCGCAGCGAGAGCAGCCGCGGGCUCAGGAUGAACUGCCCGGCGAGAGUGCAGGCGCUGGGGACGGCGAAGAUCCCGAGACGAGGUCCAGCGGCGAGAGAGGCGAGAGCAAGAGAUAGUGUGGACUGCAAGGUGAUGGGCGUGACCUCCAAGACUCCACAUCACUCACUGGCUGUGCAAGGCUUAUGCUACCCUUCCAGAGAGGCAGCAAGAAGGAAGCUUGAGGAGGUGAGGAUCCAUCACUCUUCCCUCUGCCGUCUGACUUCAUCAUCCUUUAGUUAUCACAUUGUUUCAGCCCAGCCUGAUGGGCUUUCUCCUGUGUGUUUUUUUAUAGACCCCAUUCCUUGGCCAGAGAGAGGAUGGUUCUGGGGAGCUCCUGAAACACACUGAGGAAGGUGCUGCUGUUGCAUAAGACAGACACGCCGCUCCUUGAGCCAAGAAGCACCUAGAGUGGAAUUCAAGCCCAUCAUCCUUAUGGACUGACGUUCUCACCAUGACAGUUCUGAAUUGGACUGGUUUUCCUUGGGUCACUUACAUAAUGCACAAUUCUCUGUGACUUUGACUGAUUUGCUUUAUUUUUUCCUGUCUUUCUUUUCUUGGCCUGGGAAUCAUAAAAAAGAAUUGUUCUAUAUGGUAUGAUCUGUGAUGAAAUGAGCCUUGUUUAUGUUCUUAGGGAAUUUCUAAAUUGAAGUUCCAUGUUAAUUAGUAAACGUGCCCAUAUAGUUUGAUUUGUAUCUCGCCCAUUUUUAGAUUAAAAAUAUAUUUCCUUUUUUCUCAAAGUGUGGAUUUAGGUAAUGACCCAAGUCACAUUUGCUUAGCUACUGAAAAGAUCUCAAUGUGGUAGUGGUUGGAAUUAAAAUAUAAUCAAACAUACAUUAUACCUGAGGCUCUUACACACCAUUUGAUAUAAAUGUUAUACUGCAAAGGAACAUAAAUCUUACAGGUUGAAAUGUAAUUCCUCUUUGAUCAUGUAGGGAAAAUAGCAAAAAAUUAUGAAUAUCAAAAGUGGCUUUAAGUAUCACAAAUGUGAGCUAACCAACACUGGAACACUGGAAAGUUUCAAAAUGUCAUCAUCUAAGACAAAGCAGGAGUCGAAGAGCAACUGUCCUCAUCAGUGGUGUUGCUCUGGUGUCUCUGUGGCUUUUCUUACUUGAGGGAGGUAAAGAACUUGGCACAUUUCUGUGACUGGGUGUACAGAAGCUAUAGUACUUCUGACUGUUCUGUAACUGUGCCUGCCUAUCAAUAAAAUGUUUUCAGUUGACUCAGCAACAAUGUCUUUGUCAAUUUCCUCCAAAACUGUGUCCUUAGUGGUUUUGUAAGAAAGUCCAGUACAGACCUACAAGAGGUUCAUCUGUGAAAGAUCUCAUCUGGUUCCAGAGUUAUUGCUGUUCUAGAAGUUGCCUUACAGCUACAUAUUUUCUGUACACAGAACUGGAGUUGUAUAGUAGUC